rnacentral:rRNA from 1 species
GACGAACGCUGGCGGCGUGCUUAACACAUGCAAGUCGAACGGAAAGGCCCUGCUUUUGUGGGGUGCUCGAGGGGCGAACGGGGGAGUAACACGUGAGUAACCUGCCCUUGACUUUGGGAUAACUUCAGGAAACUGGGGCUAAUACCGGAUAGGAGCUCCUGCUGCAUGGUGGGGGUUGGAAAGUUUCGGCGGUUGGGGAUGGACUCGCGGCUUAUCAGCUUGUUGGUGGGGUAGUGGCUUACCAAGGCUUUGACGGGUAGCCGGCCUGGGAGGGUGACCGGCCACAUUGGGACUGCGAUACGGCCCAGACUCCUACAGGAGGCAGCAGUGGGGAAUAUUGCACAAUGGGCGGAAGCCUGAUGCAGCAACGCCGCGUUCGGGAUGACGGCCUUCGGGUUGUAAACCGCUUUCGCCUGUGACGAAGCGUGAGUGACGGUAAUGGGUAAAGAAGCACCGGCUAACUACGUG